rnacentral:rRNA from 1 species
UACGUAGGGUGCAAGCGUUGUCCGGAAUUAUUGGGCGUAAAGAGCUCGUAGGCGGUCUGUCGCGUCUGCUGUGAAAACUCGGGGCUUAACCCCGGGCCUGCAGUGGGUACGGGCAGACUAGAGUGCGGUAGGGGAGACUGGAAUUCCUGGUGUAGCGGUGAAAUGCGCAGAUAACAGGAGGAACACCGGUGGCGAAGGCGGGUCUCUGGGCCGUAACUGACGCUGAGGAGCGAAAGCAUGGGGAGCGAACAGG